CACCGCGGUUAUACGAGAGGCCCAAGUUGACAAAUGCCGGCGUAAAAUGUGGUUAUUACAGUAUUUCACUAAAGCCAAACAUCUUCAAAGCUGUUAUAUGCUCUCGAAGACAGGAAGUUCAUUCACGAAAGUGGCUUUAAGCUCUAUGCACCACGAAAGCUAGGGAA
rnacentral:rRNA from 1 species